rnacentral:lncRNA from 1 species
GAAAAAUAAAAGUUCCCUCUCCUCUCACGCAGGCCCAGAAUCCGGCCAAACUCCGGCGAGUGGCCACUGCGCCGGCCACCGGUCGCCGGCACCGGCACCGCCGUGUACGGCGGUGGGGAGUCAAAAAGCCACUUUUUUUAAAACCCGUUUUAAAUCCCCUUCGAAAGCCGAACACCUUUGGCCCAAAAAAGACGACUCUUGGCCCCCCUUUUUCCUCUCGGAUCCGACGGCCACGAAGGAGGAGAGCCCUCCGACGGCGAACCCGCAAGGCGUUUCAGGUGUGCCCCCGCUCCCCUCUACUACUAUUUCUGUUAAGAAAAAAGAAAAUAAAUAUAUAUAUAUAUAAGGGAAAAAAAAUCCGAUUCACCUUCAAAAGGAAAAAAAAACUUUGUAUUCAGUGUUUCUUUCAACUUUUUCCUGUUUCUCUCCGUUAUCAGUGUCUCCUCCCUAUUUUCAGUGUCUUUUACAAUCCAAAUUCCCCCCCGUUACAUGAUUUAAAUCGGCCUUUAAAUAGCCGAAAAAGGACAAUAAAAUAAGCAAAAAAAAAUCUUCUCUUCAAUAUUCGUUGCGUUUUUUACUGUUACUCUGUUAUUGCUGCGUUGUACGUCCCUUUUUUUCGCAGGUUCGGUGGCCGUGGAGUGCGCCCGUACGUGGAGGCGCAACUCGCGCGAAUGGCGGCUACUGUUGCGGAGGGGGUAGUGUGCAGGCUCGUGGCGCACAAAGAGGGGUGCACGGUAGUUGCGGCGGCUGGUGGUUUCUUGCUUAGGGUUUCUGCUGCAAUUUAGUUAGUGGGCUGUUAGGGUUUGGGCCUAGGUUUAGUUUAUUUUUGUUUUGUAAUGGUCUGGGCCAAUUGGGCCUUAUUACAUUUAUGAUUAAUCGUUAAUUAAAAAUUUAAUAUUUGAAUGAAUAAAAUAAA